CGGACGGGUGAGUAACGCGUGAGAAUCUAGCUUCAGGUCGGGGACAACCACUGGAAACGGUGGCUAAUACCGGAUGUGCCGGAAGGUGAAAGGCUUGCUGCCUGAAGAUGAGCUCGCGUCUGAUUAGCUAGUUGGUGGUGUAAGGGACUACCAAGGCGACGAUCAGUAGCUGGUCUGAGAGGAUGAUCAGCCACACUGGGACUGAGACACGGCCCAGACUCCUACGGGAGGCAGCAGUGAGGAAUUUUCCGCAAUGGGCGAAAGCCUGACGGAGCAAUACCGCGUGAGGGAAGAAGGCUUAUGGGUUGUAAACCUCUUUUCUCAGGGAAGAACACAAUGACGGUACUUGAGGAAUCAGCAUCGGCUAACUCCGUGCCAGCAGCCGCGGUAAUACGGAGGAUGCAAGCGUUAUCCGGAAUGAUUGGGCGUAAAGCGUCCGCAGGUGGCUAUGUAAGUCUGCUGUUAAAGAGUCUAGCUCAACUAGAUAAAAGCAGUGGAAACUACAUAGCUAGAGUGCGUUCGGGGCAGAGGGAAUUCCUGGUGUAGCGGUGAAAUGCGUAGAGAUCAGGAAGAACACCGGUGGCGAAAGCGCUCUGCUAGGCCGCAACUGACACUGAGGGACGAAAGCUAGGGGAGCGAAUGGGAUUAGAUACCCCAGUAGUC
rnacentral:rRNA from 1 species